rnacentral:sRNA from 1 species
GCUGCACCCGGGAGAGGCUCCACUCCUCUCCUGCAGUCUCUGGAAUGAUUCAGACGAUGUGACUCAAACGACUCCAGAAACAUUCACAGAAGAUCCUAAUCUGGUGAAUGAUCCCGCUACAGAUGAAACAGUUUUGGCUGUUUUGGCUGAUAUUGCACCUUCCACAGAUGACUUGGCCUCCCUCAGUGAAAAAAAUACCACUGCAGAGUGCUGGGAUGAGAAAUUUACCUGCACAAGGCUCUACUCUGUGCAUCGGCCGGUUAAACAAUGCAUUCAUCAGUUAUGCUUCACCAGUUCACGACGUAUGUACAUCGUCAACAAGGAGAUCUGCUCUCGUCUUGUCUGUAAGGAACACGAAGCUAUGAAAGAUGAGCUUUGCCGUCAGAUGGCUGGUCUGCCCCCUAGGAGACUCCGUCGCUCCAAUUACUUCCGACUUCCUCCCUGUGAAAAUGUGGAUUUGCAGAGACCCA